UAGGCGGUUUGUCGCGUCUGCCGUGAAAGUCCGGGGCUUAACUCCGGAUCUGCGGUGGGUACGGGCAGACUAGAGUGCAGUAGGGGAGACUGGAAUUCCUGGUGUAGCGGUGAAAUGCGCAGAUAUCAGGAGGAACACCGAUGGCGAAGGCAGGUCUCUGGGCUGUAACUGACGCUGAGGAGCGAAAGCAUGGGGAGCGAACAGGAUUAGAUACCCUGGUAGUCCAUGCCGUAAACGUUGGGCACUAGGUGUGGGGGACAUUCCACGUUUUCCGCGCCGUAGCUAACGCAUUAAGUGCCCCGCCUGGGGAGUACGGCCGCAAGGCUAAAACUCAAAGGAAUUGACGGGGGCCCGCACAAGCGGCGGAGCAUGCGGAUUAAUUCGAUGCAACGCGAAGAACCUUACCAAGGCUUGACAUGAACCGGAAUGAUGCAGAGAUGUGUCAGCCACUUGUGGCCGGUUUACAGGUGGUGCAUGGUUGUCGUCAGCUCGUGUCGUGAGAUGUUGGGUUAAGUCCCGCAACGAGCGCAACCCUCGUUCCAUGUUGCCAGCGGGUUAUGCCGGGGACUCAUGGGAGACUGCCGGGGUCAACUCGGAGGAAGGUGGGGACGACGUCAAAUCAUCAUGCCCCUUAUGUCUUGGGCUUCACGCAUGCUACAAUGGCCGGUACAAAGGGUUGCGAUACUGUGAGGUGGAGCUAAUCCCAAAAAGCCGGUCUCAGUUCGGAUUGAGGUCUGCAACUCGACCUCAU
rnacentral:rRNA from 1 species